rnacentral:rRNA from 1 species
CUUGGAAGAAUGUAUAACGAUUAUAUCGUAUAAAAUUCUAGAUAAAAAAAUGAUAAUGACAACCAUUUAUCUAUUAGUCUUGUCUAAAUUACGUGCCAGCAGACGCGGUAAUACGUAGAAGACUAGUGUUAUUCAUCUGUAAUGGGUUUAAAGGGUACCUAGACGGAGGAUCAAGCCAAAAAAGGGACUAAUUUUCUAGAGUUUUAUAAAAGAAGAUGGAAUUUACGGAGUAGAGUUGAAAUUCAGUUAUACUGUGAAGACUGGUAACGGCGAAGGCAAUCUUCUAUGUAAAAACUGACGUUGAGGGACGAAGCCUAGGGUAACGAUAAGGAUUAGAGACCCUAAUAGUCCUAGGAGAAAAUUAUGAAUGUCAUAAGUUAGAUAAUUUUAAUUUAAAUAUUUUUAGUUUAUAAACGAAAGUGUAAGCAUUCCACCUCAUGAGUAAAGCGGCAACGCUCAAAUUGAAAUCAUUAGACCGUUUCUGAAACCAGUAGUGAAGUAUGUUAUUUAAUUCGAUGAUCCGCGAAUAACCUUACCACAAUUUGAAUAUUAUACAAGUGCUGCACGGCUGUCUUUAGCUAAUGUCGUGAGAUUUGGUUAACUCCUUUAAUUAGCGCAAGCCCUUGCUUUAUUUAUUUUUUCAUAAAGUUAUUCGCUUGUAUAUCGGUAUAGAUAAUAGGGAUUAAGACAAGUCAUCAUGGCCUUAAU